rnacentral:lncRNA from 1 species
GUAGAACUGCUGUCUCAGAGACUUUGAGAGAUGGGGGGGUUGCAGUUCCAGAAACCGAGGCGAAAUCUGGAGCGGCAAGAACCUACAAAAUAGAAACGUUUGUUGGUGUCUCUGAUUCUUUGUGGCAUGAGUUGAAAGCUACUGGUUGAGGCUGCUGGAAACUCGUUAUUAGCGUGAUUUCUUCUCAUUUCCGGGAAAUAUGCGAUAUCGAAGAUGGGUUCCUCGGAUCCUGCACGUUAUCUGGGGCCCGAUCGAGAUUUCAAGCUAAACAUGGUGGCGAUGAGUAGCCUGAGGGCCAUCCUGCAGGCCUCUCCAUGCAGGUCACUGUGGAGAAGAUUCCAGAUGUCCAGCUUCCUGCCGGCGAGGCCCUGCAGCCUCUACACGUGCACGUACAACUCCCGGAACCGGGCCUGUGAGUAGCUGCUGCCUUGGAGAGCGCAAAACGCUGUGUGCCUAACGGUCACGUGUGUGCUGUUUGUCCCCUGCUGUCAGCGGCGUCCCAGAGCGGGGUCGUGUGCCUUGAGGGCCGUGAGAACAGCUACUUGUUUCUCUAGUUGUCUCUCAAAUAAAUGUGGAAAGUUCUUUUUCCCCGGGGGUCUCGAGAUGUCAUCGCCAUGUGACAUUGUGUAAGUCGAAGGUGUGGUGCGGUGUGAUGAUUUGACACACGUGUGUUGCAAAACCGUCAUAAGGGUCGGAAAGUCCUCUUCUAGACGAAUUUUAACACGUUAAAAGGAUGUCAUGGGGAAAUAGGACAAGGGACCUGGCUCGGUUAAGUGUCUGGCUUCGGCUCAGGUCAUGAUCUCACUGUUCGUGCUCUGGGGUCGGGCUCUGUGCUGACAGCUAGCUCAGGGCCUGGAGCCUGCUUCAGUCUCUGUGUUUCCCUCUCUUUCUGCCCCUCCUCUGCUCAUGCUCUCUCUUUCUAUCUCUCAAAAAUAAAUAAAAAACAUUAAAAAAAAUUUUUUUAAACAAUGUCCAGUAGAU